ensembl:snRNA U1 U1 spliceosomal RNA
AUAGAGAAGGGGUUAGGGAAAUACCAUGAUCACAAAGAUCAUUCUUCCAGGGCAAGCCUUAUCUAUUGCCCUCCAGAGGUGCUGACUCCUGAGAUUUCCCCAAAUGUGGGAAAGAAACUCAAUUGCAUAAAUUGUGGUGGCGGGGACUGUGUUUGUGCUUUCCCCAG